AACUCUUAUGAGAUACUCCCA
rnacentral:snRNA from 1 species